rnacentral:lncRNA from 1 species
GUCCGGUAAGGGCCGAUUUGGCCUUAAAUUUCAGGUUCAUCUAACGAACGUUUUUGGACACUUUUUAAACACUUAAGUGUCUAUUUCAAUUGAUUCGAUUAGUUUAUGUGAAAGAUUUUAACUGAUUUAGUCAUUAAAAACGCUCUGAUUCAAGCUUAAAUAUGAAAAAUCUAUCAAAUAUGCCAAAAAACGUCACUUUUUAGAUGGUUUUUGUCAAAAAUGAAUGUGGCCGCAUCCGUGUUCAUCCUCAACCUUUAUAUAUGUUUUGUAUUAUCAUCAAAUACAACUUACAUUUCAAUAUUAUGAAUGAACACGAAUGCGGCCACUUUCAUUUUAGACGGAAACCGUCUAAAAAUUGACCAAAAUGCUAAAAUUUUGAAGAUUUCAGUAAUUUAGCAUGACUUAAUGAUGCUAGAACGCGAUAUUUGUGCAUUUUUUCGUCAAAAACAGCUCAUAUUUAUGUAGCAGAAGCAUUUUACUUUCCAAAAUAUAGCUUAAAGAUUACAUUUUCACAAUUUUCUAAAACUGCUAUAUUUUGGGGCCAAAAAGGGGUCUUAGUGAACCUACUCCUUUGUUGACGGAUCCUCGAUA